rnacentral:lncRNA from 1 species
CUGCCGCCAUCCUAGAUAAACUAUUUUUUCAGGAACAUGAUAUUUUGACUCACAAUCAUAUUAUAGUCUUGUGAAAAGUAGAAGUAGUAUCCCAUAGAUUCUUUUGGGUACCUUAUAAAAUGAGCUAUAAUAGAUCUAUCCUCCAACUUUUCUGCCAUCUGUCUCUUGACAUAGGUCGGACAUUCUCAAGUCUUAAGAUAAUCCAGACUUGGCUUCUUACCAAACCAUAUCUCAUAUGGUGUGGUAGGAAUG